rnacentral:tRNA from 1 species
ACUUUUAAAGGAUAAUAGUAAUCCAUUGGUCUUAGGAACCAAAAACCUUGGUGCAAAUCCAAGUA